GUGGGGAAUAUUGGACAAUGGGCGAAAGCCUGAUCCAGCAACGCCGCGUGAGGGAUGACGGCCUUCGGGUUGUAAACCUCUUUCAGCAGGGACGAAGCGAAAGUGACGGUACCUGCAGAAGAAGCACCGGCCAACUACGUGCCAGCAGCCGCGGUAAUACGUAGGGUGCAAGCGUUGUCCGGAAUUAUUGGGCGUAAAGGGCUCGUAGGCGGUCCAUCGCGUCGGGAGUGAAAAGCUGGGGCUCAACCCCAGUCCUGCUUCCGAUACGGGUGGACUAGAGGUAUGCAGGGGAGAACGGAAUUCCUGGUGUAGCGGUGAAAUGCGCAGAUAUCAGGAGGAACACCGGUGGCGAAGGCGGUUCUCUGGGCAUUACCUGACGCUGAGGAGCGAAAGCGUGGGGAGCAAACAGGAUUAGAUACCCGAGUAGUCC
rnacentral:rRNA from 1 species